rnacentral:rRNA from 1 species
UACGGGGGGGGCAAGCGUUGUUCGGAAUUACUGGGCGUAAAGGGCUCGUAGGCGGCCAACUAAGUCAGACGUGAAAAUCCCUCGGCUUAACCGGGGAACUGCGUCUGAUACUGGAUGGCUAGAGUUUGGGAGAGGGAUGCGGAAUUUUACGGUGUAGCGGUGAAAUGCGUAGAUAUCGGGAGGAGCACCGGUGGCGAAGGCGGAUCUCUGGGCCUUACCUGACGCUCAGGUGCGAAAGCUAGGGGGAGCGAACAGG